CAUACACACAAUGAAAUAUUAACUGGUAUACAAAUAAAUAGGCUAGAGAAAUAGUUUCAAAUAGCGUUUAUCAAAAAUAGAAUUUUGUAUUAUAUUUGAGUUUAAAAUUUAGUUUUCAAUGUUCGAAAUUGACUAAUUGCCGACACUGACUCCAUCAUGUUUAGUAAUCGAAUUUCGUUUAGUUUAGGAAAUCGUCUAUUGAAAAAUGUUUCUACACAAAACUAGCCUGGCCGUAUAUGUGGCAUACGACUUGAGAUUGAUCGGAGAUUGUUGUUCAUUUUGUUAUCGCGAGAUUAAAUUGUAAAUCAUAAAUCACAUGUUUAUUUCGCUGUUUUGCAAUGCGAAACUAGUCGCAAAUCAUUAUUUCAAAUCGCUGGAAAAUAUAGCGGUUAAAAUGGAAAAAAUUGACGCAGAUUACACAAAUCACAAAACCUGCGAUAAUAAAUAAAUAAUUCUUUUUGUCAUAAAUUGCAUGUUGCUGCGGCAUACAAACGAACAUAACCUAUGUAUACGUUUCAUAGUCAUGGAAAAUGAACAUGCUUAUUAUCUUAUAAGUUAUAAUCCAACAUUUUCGGACGUCAAAGUUAUUUGCUUAUUUAUUUAAGACAACUGAGUAGUAUUUGGCCGCUCUGAAAAGAAACACGUAGGCUAGAAAAGUGAAAAAUGAAGUUGCGAUAUUUGAAGAACCACGUUGCCUUAGAUUGCCCCACGCAUAAAAUGAAAACUUUUGAAUGAAAAAGAGCAAUUAGUCAAUGACGUGGCGUUCUUCUUCGUCACAACUUCCUCUUCUACAUUUUUUGCCUAGUGGUUUUGGUAAAACACGUAGAAAGAUUCUCUUCUCCCAAAAAUGCCAAAAUCAUGUGGCUCACAGCAAAACUUCAUAACAUUACGUUCGUUUCUGUAACAUGAGGUUUCAUUCAUUACACAUCUCUUUUUGCUUCUGGAAGUUAGUUAAGUUGGAUCCAUAUACGCCCAUGCUUAUUCCGUCCGAGACCGUGAUCAUUUCUCUCUCUGUCUCUUACUACGUGGCCCAUCGUAGCUCCGUCAAUUUCUUCUAAGAUGUAACAAUUUUCUUAUAAUUAAGGUCUUCAAUUUUCUCUCCAAAACGUUAAUAUCCUUAUAUAUUUUGAAGUUUUCAGAAAUAUUUUAGACUUGAGUCAUAACCAAAAAAUAAUAGCAAACAUAAAAUGAUUCUGUAUGUAAACAUUACAGUCUGAGGUAUAGUAAAGGGACAUUAUUGAUAUUAGCAAUUAGUUAACAUGUAGAUUAAGGUGUUUUGAGCAGUGUUUUAAAUCAGAACUGAACGGGCAAUCAGAUCAAGUUAAACUGUGAACCGGAAUUAUAUAUGUGUUAAAUAAAGAAAAAUCGGAUUGUUUGUUACAUUUAAACAAAAAUCAAUUUUAUUAUUUAUCUUUCAUUUAAAAAAAAUAUAAUAAAAUUUCUGAAAACACUAUUACAAAUAAAUAUUUUCUACGUUUUAUCAUAUUCAAUGAAUAUCUCUAACUAAUAGCUAUGAAUCUUCAAAAUUAAAGUAUCAAUUUUAUUUGAUUUUCACAUUGUAAUACAUCGUUAAGUGGUUUAUAUUUGAUUACUAAUCAUGGUAUUCCUCAUUCUUUUCCAGCUUGAUUAUUUACGUAAAAGGCCCAACAAUUCCGAGGAGAUUUGGAUGGCUUUAUUAAUUUUUUAUUUAGUAGAUCUUUUUUUUUACUUUUUACAAUGUCAUCAUUUAUAGGAAGAAUUUGAUGUAUAUUCAUAAGAGGCAAAUGAAUGAAGAAUAAAUACAUACUACAAUAAUUCAGGACGGAUGGAACAAUUUAUACACAAAUUUGACCGAAAUCUCCUUCCAUGCGCGUGUGCAUAAUAUCGACACUCCAAAGCUAAAGCUGUCAUACUAUACUACAUAUCAUAUAGUAUAGGCACAUAAAUGAUUUAAUCAGUUACAAGGAUGGGUUUCAUAAAUUAUGUAACUAUGCUAUACAUGUUUACGACAUAGUUUAGAAUACUCGACAAAAACAUAUAAGCUUGUUAAUUCGGUGUAUGCCAAUAAUGCUUUACCAAUUUGGGGAAGAGGAUCAAGGAUAGUGGUAACGUACAUAGCAACCGUACUAGGAACCAAGUUUACAAAAAAACUGGCAUGUUCACCAAAGAGGAGAACAUAUAUGCACGCAUGUCCAUGUAUGGAAAAAGACUAGCAUACGACUAUACUAUAUUCAAUAUAGUAUGGUAACAUCAGAUUUGGGUGUUUUUAUCCAAACAAGCUGAACAAAAUUAAACAGAAGGGAAAUCAGCAACUAUGUUACUACGGGCGUUAGGUUAGGUUAAAUAUGGAGUUUUCAACUGCAUACGUCCUAACUGCAACUUCAAGUGCAUCUUCCGCGUGACUAUACUGUUUAGUGCUCUCAUAUAAUAUAUGAGAUAACCCUUUUACUCUUAACUUUUCUCAGAUAGUACGUUUCUCGUCGUUUUGCCGUUAACCCCUUCUAAACAGAUCUGAAAACUAAACAGUGGUUUUGAUUUCAGAUAAGACACAAAAAUAUCGGGUUGCUUAGACAUUGAUGAUAUGUCCACUACAAAUAUUAAUUCAAAAGACACGGUGGAAAAAGGUAAAGAGAUCACAGGGAGCGGCAGCGGUAGUAGAAGAGACGGUGGCAACAAUAUUGGAAGAGGUGAUGGUGGUGAAGGAUCAUACAAUCCACAACGGCGGCAAUGGAAGCAAAAACAGUGCAGAUGAUGGCAAAAAUGGUGGAAACGUGUAUGGUGUAGAAGAAUGAAAUAAUUGGCAACGGCGAUUGUGGUGAUGUUAUUAAAGCGGAAGAAAGUGAAAUGAUCAGAGAUAAAAUAGAUAAAAUUAUAAACAGAGAGAAGAAGAAACAUGUGGUGCGCGCGUAUGGUAUCAAGGAUAAAAAUGCAACUAAUACAGAAUAUAAACAUAAUAUCAUAGCCAAAGUAGUGUUAUGGGUAUAAACUUUAUUUCUAUUUUUUUUUAUGUAUAUGCGCUGCAAUUCCCCUCAUUUAUAUUUGAGAGUUCAACCAUAUGUUGUUUUUUUUCCCAAAAAUCGUUUGGUAAGUCUGAACAUACUUGAUUUAACAAAUCAUUUUCUGUAGAUUUUAUUUUAGUUAUUAUAUAUGGUGCUUUAAGUUGUUCUUCUAUUUUUUAUGUGAUAUUUUUUCUUGUAAAUAUUGAAUCUGAUUUUGUUUUCCUUUUAUUAAAUUGAUGGGGGUUUUUUAAUUGUAUUUUGUUGUAAAUUUAAAAUUCUUCAGUUUUCGUUUGUGAUAAAAAUCUAAAUAAUAAUUAUGUUCCAACGACUUUCGUUGUUAUUCCUAUAUCAGUCAUUUUAAAUGGGUAUAUUUGCGUAAAAAUGGGGUCCUAAUAUUACUUCUUGUGUUAGGUUUUUAACUAGGAUAAAUUGAUUUUUAAAGAAAUAUCCUUGAUUACAUAUUUUUGCGCAUGGUAAUUUAUAUUGUACUUUUAGGUUAUUUCCACUAGUGCCAUUUUUGUCUUUUCUUUUGCAAAGCACAAAGAAAUGUUAGACAAUACUUAAGAUUCUGAAAGAAUACAAAAGGGUAUCGGGUAAGCAAAUAAACUUUGAAAAAUCAUCAAUUCAAUUUGUGCACAAUAUUGAAUAAUCCCACCGACAUGAUCUAUGGGACAUCUUAAGAAUACAAAAUCUAGGCAGGAUUGGAUCAUAUUUGGGAAAUUCCUGACUUUGGGAGGAUCAAAAACACAAGUCUUUGAUUUUAUUCAGGACCGUUUAAAUAAUAGAGUAAAUGAAUGGACUUUUAAGUUUUUUACCAAGGGGGAAAGGUAGUGAUCAUCAAAUUUGUGGUAACGGUUUUGCCAAACCAUGUAAUGUCCUGUUAUCGCAUUCCAAAAAAGUUUAUGAAGAAGCUAACGAGUGCGGUGCACAAUUUUGGUGGAGUCGAAGGGGAAUACUAGAGGUAUGCAUUGGAAGUCAUGAGAUAAAUUUUGCAGUUCUAAGGAUGAAGGGGGUUUAGGAUUUAAAGACCUAACAGAUUUUAAUGCAGCUAUGCUAGGGAAUCAACUUUGGCGAUUCAUAGAGAAACCGAACACUUUCAAAGGACGGUAUUUUAGGAAUGCAUCACCUCUCGUAUUUUGUCAGACAAUUCUUGUCAUUUUGUUGAAGUUUCACUUGAAUUUUUUAUUUUUCGUUAUCGGAUCAUCACUAUCUGUUUCUUCAGAUAUUUUCGAUUCUGAUACUAAUAGUUUAGUUAAUCUUGAAAUAUUUCAUUUAUUUUUUUCUUCUUACAUUAUGUGGAUCUAUGUUCAGGUCUUUUACAAUUCCAACAUACUAUUUUGUGCAUUUGUUGAAUUGUAUAUUUUAUUAUUCUUUGAAUAAUAUUGAUUAAUUGGUUUUUUGUUGCAAUUUUUAUAUUUUGAUAAUUUUUUGUAUUUUAUGGUUUCCUUGUCUAUAUUUUACUCGUUUGACUCUUGAUGGUGGAUUAAGUCUAUUAUAACCAUAUUGUUCACAGAAGGAACCCAUGGUUACUUUAAAUUUGAAUUUAUCAUUACAUUAUUUUAUCUUUAUGUUCUUGAUAUAUUGCUAAUCCUUCUUUAUGAAUGCAAAUAGUUGACUGCAUGUAAUUGUAUUCCAGGAGAUAGGUUGUCUACCAGAAUAAUAUUUUAAUUUGUUGAUUACUUUUUCUGCAAAAAAAACGACAAUCCUGAGAUAAACCGUCCUUUCUAGAAAGGUUGAUUACAAUCAUUUAUUUGGAAUAUGUUGGUUAUAGAAAUACUUUUAUGCCAUUUAAAAUCUCCUAUUGUCAGAUAUCUUAAAUUUGUUAAUAAGAUUUUUUUUUACUUUCUAAUUCCUCUGCUCGAUUACCAACAAAAUGCAUUGUUAAAGUAUGGAUUAAUACUUCUACUGCAUUUUAAUGUUCUACUUCUGUGUAAAGACCAUCUUUGUCUUCUUCUCUUUUUAUUUCACAUAGUGAUAAGUGAAUUUUGUAAUGCUCCAUUAAAUCCAGAUAUUAACAUGACAUAUGCUUGUUUAUCAGUAAUACCUCUAGCUUUAAGUGCUAUCAUGGCCAUUCCCAUUUUUUGAAAUUCAUUAUUUCAGAUUCUGAGCAUCCAUCAAUAUUCCAUUCAUAUAUAUUUUCUCCAUUAUAUACAUUAUUAGAAUAUUUAUGGUGUUCUUCAAAUAGUAGAUCGGGUGGAGUAUGUUGUUGAUAAUAAGGUUUAUUAGAUCUCAUUAUUUUAUUUUUUAUUCGAUUUAUUUUUUGACUAUCAUUUUCUGACUGUGAGGAUGUUUGGAUAGAUUUAUUAUCAUUUUCGUCUAUUAUAUUUAUUCCUUUAUUUUUAUCUAGUUUAUCUAAUCUGGUCGCAACUGAUUUUAGGAUUUCAUUCUCAGAAAAAUUAAUUUGAGUUAUUAUCGGUUUAAAGAUUCGAGAAGUUGUAGAUGAAAAUGGAUGUUGAGUAUUUUGGUUAAAUUGAUUUAUUUUAUUAUUUUCAUUAUUAUUUAGUUUAUUGUCUAUGUUGUCUAUUUGUUUAUAAAUUGUGUACAAUAAAUAGUUUAGAUUAUUAUUUUGUUGAUAUAUUACUUUAAUAUCUUGUAAGACUACCGGGUCUCUAUCACCUUUAUCGGCUCAUUUUUUAAAACUUAUGGCUAUUAUUUGUCGAUUUGAUGUAUUUAUUUUUAAAUAUUUUAAUGGUGUAUGAAUUAAUUCAAUUUUAUUAAUUUAUUGUUCUAAAUGGAUAUUUGAUAUUAUGUGUGAUUGUAUAAGUUUCAAACCAUAUAAAAACAGAAUAUUUGUUUUUUUUAAUAUCAUACAAUUAUACCAUUUUCUCUAAAUUCAAUAUUUUGUUGUUUAAAAAGUGUUUUAAAAUACCAGUUACGUUUUUCUUGUUUUCUUUUGAAAAAAAGCAUUCUUUAAUAUAUUGCUUAUCAAUUUAAUAUUUUUAUGACAUUUAUUGAUUAAAAUUUGAUGGUGUAGGAAAAACUGGAUAUAUAUUUUGUUUCGGUUCAGCUACGGGUGCUUUAAAUCUAAUUGAAUUGUCUUGUCUAAUAUUUUGGUUUACACUUUCUGUUUCCAAAUCUGCAUUAGAUUGACCAGUACAAUAUUCAGAAAAGGCUCUUGAAUUAUAUGAACUAAGUCUAGGUGGAAGUGGAUCUCUAUAAGAUCCGAAUUGUAAUAAUAUAUUUCAGUCUCUUUGGUCAAUUAUUUUUGAAAUAUUUUUGUUGUUCAAAACUUUUAGGCGUUGAGUAAUUUCAAUUUUUCAUUGAUCUGGAAUAGUUAUUUCAUCACAUUUUAAUUGUUUAGGUGUGUGUGUGUGUGUCUGUUGGAGUAUAUUUACUAUGACGGCUAAAAUUGUUGUUUCUCCUUUAUUAUCUUGUAAUAAACAUCUUGGAUUAAAUUCUGAAGUUGAUUGUUUAAAUUAGACUCGGUAGAGUAAUAAAUAUUCAUAUCUUUCAUUUUGAAAUUUAAAUUAUUGAGUAUUGUUGGGUCAUGUAAAGGCACCCUUAACGGGAGGUUUUUAAGAGUUUCUUCAAAAUAAAUCAAACUGUAAGAAAAAAAAAACUAAAAGUGAGGGAGAGAGAGAGAGAGAGAGAGAGAGAGAGAGAGAGAGAGAGAGAGAGAGAGAGAGAGAGAGAGAGAGAGAGAGAGAGAGAGAGAGAGAGAGAGAGAGAGAGAGAGAGAGAGAGAGAGAGAGAGAGAGAGAGAGAGAGAGAGAGAGAGAGAGAGAGAGAGAAAUGUGGAAAAUGGUUUCUUGCAAAGAUACUCUACAAAAAAAAAUUAACAUACCCAUCAAAACUGUGGCACAAGGCUAUUAAAUACACAUUUCCAUAACAAUAAUAAUCUAAUUAAUAUGUUAAAAACUAAUAUUUUUUUUGUUUUUAAGAAACUUAGAUGAUAUCUACCAUUGUCCAUGCUCUAAACUUACUUGGAAAUUAGGAGCACAAUUAAAAUAUACUGUCCAUUGCAUAAAUUGGAUUGAACUGCUCCGACAAGCGAGUCUUCAAAUUUUAGUAGAGUUUUAUCUCUUAGUAACAUAAGUAUUGGUGAAUAUAUUCCAGUUCUUAUUAUUUUUUUUAUAUAAAUUUGUGUUAGACCAAAAUGGACUUAAUUAAAUCCUUUGUGUCUAUAUUUAUCUAAAGCUAUUGAUGAUAAUAGUUUAAUUUCUUCAAAUUCGUUUUGAAAAGAUAAGUUUUCUCAUGUUCUUUUAUUUAAUAAGGAGUUUUAAAAUCAAAAGUUCCUAUUUGAUAUAUAUGUUCUGGGUUGAUAUGGGGUAACUGAUCUUUUGAUAUUUCUUGAUUAAAAGAUGUUACUUUUGACAUAAUUUCUCUUGAAUUAAUUGUUGCAUAUGAUGCAGAAGUUGAUGCAUGUUUUGAUUUAAAAGUUUCCUAAACGAAGACGCCAUGACUUAAUCUAAACUAGAACUCAUACCAAAGGAAUACUAACCUGUUCUAUGUCGACACAAUUGCGGCUUCAAACGGGCUUACUGCAUUUUUUAGGACUUGCUGCCUGGAACACCUACAAGGAGAAUGUUUUUAUAGUAGGAAAAAAAUCUCUCUAUAUGGGUUUAAAGUAGAUUAGAUUCACAGAACUUUGUUUUGAAAAGUUUUAAACAAGUUGCAUUGGAAUUGAAAAUAUUCAUAAAAGUUUCUUACGAACUUGAGUAAUCCUUGGCUCGGAUACCAUUUACUUUAUAUUCUUGUAUUAAGAUAGCAAUUUUGUUGUAUUAUAAACUUGAAAAUUUUAAACAGUAUAUAGACUUGAUUUAAUUAUUUUGGAUUUGAAUUCAAAGUCUAAUAUGAGAUUACAUAAGUAAAAUUUAAAAAAAAACUAAAAACUUGAAAUAUGAAAGCUUUAGAGAGUUUUGUAGAGAAUAUGAGACAGUGAAAUCACUUGUGCCCCUCUUCAUUGGUAGAGUGGUGACGACACUUGCCUUGGUAGUGCCAUCUCCUGAAUGAUACUAACACUUUGAUUGGUUGGUUGAUGGAGAAUUUUGUUAUUUUAUUGCGGAAGUCUUCGUGUGGUUCCCAUCUGUCGGCCGUCAUGAUUGCUGAGUAGUUUCUUCGUACUUAUACAUAAAUAUUUUGUAUAUUAUUUGUAGAUACAUACAGUAGUAAACAGUAAUAUACAUAAAUAACAUUUAUGGUAGAAUUUGAAAACCAUGAUGUUAUUAUGACCCAAAAUUUAACUGAUGAAAAAUGAAUCAAAUAUAUUAUGAUAAAUAUUUUGUCUUUACAGUAUUCAGCACAAACCAAAAUGAAAACAAGAAAAUUCCCAAAGAAGCAGUUCAAAAAUCGUAUGUGGACAAUUCAGAGGAUUACCAUGAAAUCGUUUGAUCUAACAUGCAAUCUUCCACAAAGAUUAUUCCUAUCGAUCACAUCAUUGAGAUACUCUAAAGAUUACCUGCAAAAUCCAUUGCUAUUUUUCGUUGCGUUUUGAAACAAUGUGAAUCCUUAAUCUGGAGUGUGAAGUAAGGACUCCCAUGUUUCAAAACACAACGAGAGUUUGCAAUUAAUAUCACAUAUAAUAUUAAGAGUAUUUCGGUGGUAAGAUCGAAAGGCGUCCUCUUUAUGGAUGAUUGUGUGUUGGUUUGGAUGAUUUUACGGUACUCUUCUAAAUAUUCAUUGAUACUUAUUGUAUGUUGUUUUCGAAAUGUUUUCUUUGUUUUCGUUUUUGUUAGUGUUAAAUACUAUGCUGAAAAUAUAUAUUACCACAUCAAUAUCUUAAUUUCUUCUUUCAUUUAUCAUUCUUCUUUCAAUUAAAUUUUGGAUCGCAUCAAUAUCUUAAUUUCUAUACUCUACCAUAAAUAAAAUAUUGGUAAUUUAUUUAUUUUUAUAAAAAUUAAAAAAAUCUUUCAAUUGUAUGUGUUUGACCAAAAAAAAUUAUUUUCACUAGUUGAGUUUUUCUACAUAUUAUUUUGGACUGUAGUCUACAAUGGUUGACCAAACCAUACUUAGGCCGUGAAUUUUUAAAGUAUUUCACACUCAGAAUGAAAAGUUAAAUAUAAAUAUGUCCAUUCAAUAAAAGAAAUGAAAUAUGUGAGACAGUCAAAUCAUUAAAACCACGCUUCAAACUUUUUUCUUUAUUUUUAAAUGCACUUAACUUAAUAAUGGUGCGUUUAGAUGGUAUUUUCGAUUUUGUGUAGAUAUAUACAUGAUAUAUAUAUAUAUUUAUUUAUUUAUUUUAAAUUGUAUAAAUGUGUUAAUUUUAUAAGAUAAUAUAACUAUGUUUAAAACAAAAUUAUUAUUGUGCAUGAUUUUUAAUUCUAUAAAUUUUAUAUGAUGAAAUUAUAAAUUAAAAUUUUAAAAAUAUGUUUAACUAUAUCGCACAUGAUUAUUUUUUGAAUUAUAUAUAUUCAUUAAGCUAAAAUUAUAAAUUUAAAAUUUAACUUGAUUUUUGUGAUUCAUAAAUAAUAUAAUAAAAAAAAUUGGUUAAAAAAUAUUUAUAUAUUAUAUUUAAAUUAUUUAAUUUCUUAUCAUCCAAAUAUUUUUUCCAACCUCAUAUUUCUUUGGUGCCAUUCAAGUUUUAUUAAAAACUAAUUUAUCCGCUAUAUGCACUUUUCGUAAAACUGCACUUGAAAUAUAUUGCAUCCUAUUACCCGCUAAGUACGCACCGUCUAAUCCGAUGUUUCCAUGCUGAGCCUUAGUUUUUAUGUAGUAAUAAUUAAUUUAGAUUAAUUUCAGUAUAAAUUGUUUAGCCAACUAACAUCAUGUAGGUGACAAAAAAAUCACAAUUUAUCUAUUAUUGAAAAUGUAAAUAAAAACAGCAGAUAUAUACAUGAUACUAGUAUUUUGGCCCAUGCUAUGCAUGGGCAUAGUUAUAAUCCUUAACAUUUUCCAAUCUAAAUUUUAACUGAACACAGAUGUUUGUAUCUGAAUCAAAUAUUGACUAUAGUAUUAUUAGUUAUGAACAAAACAUUGAUAGAAUGAAUGGUUACAAAUGAAACUGGGAAAAUAACAAAUUUUGAAUAAAUAAAUUAUGUUAAUGCACAACUUGUAAUAGACCACGAAAAACAAAGCCAACAUACUUAUUAAGUAACUAAAAUAUAAAUCCAUAAACAAUGACAAACAAUAUUAUUUAAAGAAGACAUAAAUUUGUAUUUUUUUCUUUAAAUAAUAAUAUUAGUUAAUUAAUCAGUUUUUUUUCUUUUUCAAAAAAAUUAUUUAAAGAAGACAUAAAUUUGUAUUUUUCUUAAGUUUAUAUAUGAUUAUAUUUGUUAUUAAAAAGAUCACAGCGUGAAAGAACCAGUUACAAUCAUAUGCAUUUGUUUAUUUUUAUUUUCAGAUGAAAUGAAAUGUAAAUAGAUACUCAUACUCAGUUUUUAAUAAGAAUUUCUUUGCAAUUAUUAUUGAAUUUAUUAGUGGGUUAUUUUUGGACAAAUUUUUUAUCAGGCUCUUCAGCCACUCUUUGAUUAGCUUCUACUCAAAACCAGAAACAAUAGUUUGAUAUCUUUCUCCUACUGACAUGUUGAUUGCUUUAAAGAAAAUGAAAUAUAGAAAAAUGCUUGAGAGAUAAAGGUAAUGUUUUAUUUCUUCUUUCAAUAGUGGAAAGGUAAUGUUCAAACAAAAAAGUUGAAAGGUUUUGCAUCUGACCUAUUAAUCAAAACAUGAACGGGGAGAGUCUUCAUGUAAGUUGCUGUCAACUUCGUGUAAUAUGUGGGAACACUGAUGAUUCCUCUGCAAAAAAAAAAGAAGAAAGAAUUAAAACAAAAGGAAUUCAAACUGCACAACAGAACAUAGUUAAUUGCUACGACUUAAAAUAUUUUAUCACUUAUUCAUUUACGAAACUAUACACCACCGUUAGACUGAAGAUUCAUCCAGAGAAGAAAAACAAAGAAGAUAGGAUCUUGCCGAUAUCAAAAUUAAAUUCUGAGAGAGAUGAAAGCAUUAGUUACUUCAUGGGAGAAAUUAACAGUUCGAAACCAUUUUAUAAGCAAAUUCGCUGCAUAACUGAUUUUAAUGUAGGAUGGUGGAGAUCGUGGCAAACAAUUAAAAAACUGUUCUUUGUUUACGUUGAGAAUAGAGAUGAAAUCAAUUGUUGUCUAAUUUUUUUUUAAUUUUUUUUUUGAAAAAUGUAAUUUCCAUAUGGCAAACUUUGAUUGGUUGAGUGACUCGUGCUUUAGUAUAUAAGGGAUAUAUCAUUUUAAUUUUAUAAAUUUUUGAAACUAUUUAUGUGUUAAUUUUAUCAGAGAAUAUAACUAUGUUUUAAAAAUUUAUUAAUUGUGCCAGAUGUUUUAAUUCUAUUCAUUUCUAUAUGCUAAUUAUAAAUUAAAAUUUUAAUAAUAUGUUUUACUAUAUUGCACACGAUAUUUUAAUUCUAUACAUUUAUAUAUUCUAAAAUUAUAAAUUUAAAUUUAAAAACGAUUUUUUUUACUUAUAAAUAAUAUAUAAAUCUUAUAAUUUUAUUAAUAAUUUAAAAUUUUAAUUUUUGUUAUAAUAAACUAUUUUAUUUUAAAAAUAAUAUUAUAUUUAAUGUUAUCUAUUAUUUCUAUAAUUCAAUAUUUCUUCUGCACCGCAUAUUACUUUAUUACCAUGCAAACUUUAUUAACAACUCAUUUACUCGCUAUAUAAGUUUUUCCGUAAAACCCCAUUUAAAGUAUAUCACAUCAUAUUAUCCAUAUAGUACGCACCGCCUAAUCCGUUGUUACCAUUCACAACCAUAGUUUUUAUGUAGUCAGUGACAAUUUUAGACAAAUUUCAGGAUAAAUAGUUUAACAAACUAACAUCAUAUAAUUGACAAUAACAGUCACAAUUUAGCUAUUACUGGAAAUGUAAAUAAAAACAGCCGUUUUCAUUUAAAAAUAUCAAUUUUUUUAUUUGUAUUCCCAUUUUAAUCCUAACGUUUGUAAACAUAUCAAAAUGAUCAAUAAAAUGUAUGAAUUAAAACAUUUUAUGAAACAAACUUUAAAAUUGAUAAGAAUGAUUUUUUUGACCAAAAGUGUAAUUUUGUUUUUAUCAUUUUCCAUUUAUUUAGUAGUUAUUUGUUACAAUGAAAAAUUCUUUAAAAACAUUUCACAGCUAAAAGGUUUAAAUUUAUUUCUUUACCUGUUUGCUAUAAAAAUUUUAAAAACAUUUUAGUUUACCAACAAUAGAAACCUAAAAAAGUAUGAAAUUAACAAUUUAACCAUGCAAAAGAGAUUAUUAUGAAAGAGUGACAACUUUUUAGAUUUUCUGUUCUUUUUUCGUGGAAAUAAUUUAAAAAAUAAUGUUAGGGCCUGUUAUGCAAUGGCCUCUUUUAUUAACUACUUUAUAAUUAAUCUUAGUUUUGAGACAAAAUUAAACAACAUUAUUUCCCUUUUCUAAAUGCUGUAGAAAUUUCAAAAGUUAAAUAUUUAUUCAUCUAACACUAUUAAAAGGUGAAUAAGAAGCCUUCUGAACUAUGACACAUCAGAUCAGAAAAUCAGCCACUAAAAUUGCAGCAAUCAACCAUGUCAACAAUAUGUGGGUCCCACUGGAAAAAAAAUUAUACUAAUGAGCUUCGUUACUUUACUUAAAGAUGAUACCCAAUUGGUCUAUGUUAUAAUGAAGGUCGUGUAUAUCUAAUGGGCUUCGUGAGUCAAAAUAAAAAAAUCAUCGAUUUUCUUUUGCGAUUAGAUUUUCUAUGUAAAGCCAUAUGGUCAAGCGUCGUCGUCGAAGUGGAGAUAGGGUUUUCUUCAUAGCUUCAGACAAAUCUGGAAAACUCAGCUCACCCUUUGUCAAGUUGCAUCUGUCAUCGUGUUUUUUUUUAUGUUUUAGACGAUAUGUCGAUGAGUUUGAAUUACGAUUAAUGUUUGGCCCAAACUUUAACUUACACAUAGGCCCAUAUCAGAAAACUUAAUUGAGCUUGAAGUUACGGUGGAUUCGCGGAGAGCAUGAGAUUUGCAUUAACAUCGUCCUCUCCACUUCCUGCCGGGAGUAACUGACCUCAAUUAUGCUUCCCAAUAAAUUAUCCCCACUAGGUCCUAUUGAAUGGAGAUCCUUUGGUUUCUCUGCUAAGCGUAUUUUCUGUAUAUAUAUAUAUCGUCCUCUUCCUUCAGAUGAGAUUCAUGCUUUUAGAUUCUCUAUACCACACGAUACCUAGCCAAACUGAAACUCACUGUGAUGAUGAUUUUCCAAAUCUACUUUUCCGAUCUGGAGGUGGGGCGUUGUAAGGAGGCUAGCAAUCUGCAGAAGGUAGGCGAGCUAAUUGGGGUAAACAUGGUGUUACUGGACAAGAAGGUACUAGAAAGCUAUCUAUUUUUUUUUAAUUUCUUAUUAUACGGGAUCUUAUUUCUACUUUCUAAUAGCCACACUUUUUCUAAUAGCCAAACAGACUUAGUUUUUUUUUUUUUUUUUAUGUUGCUACUAGGAACUGCCACUUCACCAAGCUGAGUUCGAGCACUUCUGAUUUCAUUCCUGUCCAAAAACCUGUUUUUAGUAUUUUAAAAAUUCGAUGUUGCUUACAAUCCACUAAUACACCUUCAACCCCUUCAAAACAAGGUUUUUAAAAACGUCUCCUUUUGCAUCAGAUUGUCUGAAUUUUUUUUGCAGUUUGAAUAGGGUUUUAUCAUUUCCAUGAUUUCCCCAUGAAUAUUAAUUUACUAAGGAUUAGUCAUAUUGGGAUCUAGACUAACAUCGGCAAAAGUGAAGCAGCUCAUGAAAACUAUUUUUUCAUUUCCUUAUUUUACCAUUAAAACUCAUGUGUCCUGUGAAUUCUGAUUUAGGCUGAUGUUGAUGGGAACGGGACAAACUGCCUAAAUCGAGCUCAUUGCUGCAACAAUGCUUGAAAGUAAUGAGAAUCAUCAUGAAGUUGGUCAGCAGGGGAAGGAUCCUGUCAACGAGUCUGAUGUGGAGUUAGCUUCUGUAAGAGUCUGAGAUGGUUCUAGGAGAUGGAAGGGGAAGAAGGAAUAAGGAAUAAUCAGGUGUGAGCUGGAGAGGCUGCACAGGUAGUUAACGGAGCACAUGGGCUGUUUGCUCAAGUGGCGAGUCUUAUAUAUAUUGACUGAGGAAUGUUGUGAGGGUUAUAAAUAGAUUUGAUCAAAGUUGUAAGGGAGGAGAGAGACUCCCAAUAUUAAUUCUCUCAAAUCAUGUAUACAGUUUUAUCAGAUCUGUACAAUCAUCAUUUCUCAGAAUAUCUCAUAACAGCCUUCCAACAUUUUGACAAAGACAGCAGCAGAACGUUUGUGUACAUUCCAAUAGACUAAUUAGAAGCUGCACUGAAGGAAUAUGGAAUGGGAGAUGAUGCAACAACCAAAGAGGUUUCCUCAUACGACGAUUCAUAUAACGUAAGCAAAAACAAUUUACCAUAUCAUCUCUGGCUGUCGUAUUUAAAGAAUGUAUUUUCCCAUUUAAGAGUUCUUCUCACGACUGAGCUUCACUGCGCAUCAUCCAUUUUUAAAGUGUUGUUGUUGUAUUAUUUACACUCAGUGAAAAAACAACACGAAUCAGUUUUGAUGUUAAUCUGUGAUACAAAAACCAUUGGCUGAUUAUUAUAUCACGGGAAGAGACAUGUCUACCAAUAAUAAGCACUUCAGAUAGUGUUUCAAAACAUAAUACUAUUGAUUACUUAGGAGUAAGAAGACAAGGAAUUAAGAGAUACCUAAGAAUUGGUUUUAGGUUAUAUAUAAUGCAAAUUGUUAUUGAACAAAAUAGUUGGUAAUAAUAUAAACAGAAUUUGAUAUAUAAUUUGUUUUAUUUGUUUAUAGCAUAACUUCAGUGAAGUGAUGGAUGUUGAUAAUACUAUCAUAAAAGAUGUUAGCUGAUUAUAAGACUUGAUCAAAUAUUUGGAAUAAAGUGUGGUAAUUCAUCUUAGUGACGUUUUUGAGUUGUAACUUCAAAAUUUGAAAUAUAGUUACUAUUAUUUGUGAUACUUCUUUUGAUUCGUUUGUGAUAUGUAGAACAAGAGUAACAUAGUAAAAUUUAGAUUCUCGCAUAGUAUUACAGAUAGAAAGAGGAUCAGUCACAUAGUCGAACGCAAAUAAAUCUACAAAACAUAUUAUAAACAUUGUAAAGUAUUGAUCAGAAUUAUAUAAAUGAUCGUCCAAGCGAGCUGUGAAUCAAUAAGUUUUAAUCGUUUUAUCAAUGGUUUACGAAGAAAACCUUAAUUCUAUUUAGGGUUUUCAAAUUGAAUUUGGAUACAUUUGAGCUUGCUUUUUUUUUUUUUUUGAAUCCAAUAUGUAGAGCAGAAUCAGAGUUAGAAAGAAUAAAUUUUUCAUUUUUAUAUUUUGAACAUAUAUUCUUUACUAAGACCAUAAAAUGAAUUGUAAAUUCAGGUAAGAAUUAAACAUAUGAACCCGACGCGUAGCGCCGGAAUACCACUAGUAGUAUAUAAUGGGAGGAUUGGAUUUAUUUUUGCAAAGAUAACAUUGUAUCUCUUAAGAAAUAAACAGAAAUAUUGAGAUUAGAAAGAAAUUUAAUGAUUUUUUGCAUAUUUAAAGUGAAAUAUCGUUGUAAAUUAGCUUAUAACUGAAGUUUGGAAGCGUUUUGCAAAGGUAAGUGUAGAGAAUAAUAAGUUUAAAAGUAGUGUAUAGUGUACGAUUGUAAGAAUAACAUUGUUCUUUUUUUAACAAAAAAAAAAGAAUAAAAUUGUUCUUUCGUCUUUUUCCUCCUCUUGGUUUGUACCCCCAGUACAUAUGAUGUAUCAUUGAUUGUCUUUGUUCUUUCUGACUUGGGCAUUUGCAGUCAACAUAUUAGAUUGCUCAUUUGUUCAACAUGGAGUCGACUAAAACUUGGCUCUUUGUGCUUUACUUCGUCAUUCACUCCAUAAUGGAUUGAGUUAUUGAUUCACUUAUUAAAAUUCUAGUAUUAAGGCCCUUGAUUUGCAAUGCCCUUUAGUUAUUUAUUUUAUGAUUUCAAUUUUGAGAAAAGAACAACAUAAUUUUUGCUUUCCUGAUUGUUGAAACAGUACUUCGACAAUCAAAUAGUUGUAAAAUAUCAAUCAAUAAGAGGGCCUGAUUAGUUAUUCUUUGCAAUCAACAGACUGAAUGGCUGUUAAGUAAUAAGUAGAACUCAAGAGAUUGAGAUGCGAGUGUAAUGAUUUUGUGCAGAAUUUAUAGUGAAAUAUGAUAGCAAAUGAGUUUUGUUUUUCAGAUCAAUAGUGCUACAAGCGUAAAAAUAGAGUAGUGUGUAGUGUAUAUCAUAAGUUGUAUUUGUUUAAUAUUUCUCAUUUGGUCCAUUUGGCAUUUGAGUAUAUGAUUGAUGGCAUUAUUCUUGUUAAUACAAUCAUUUCAGCCAAUGCAUUAAUGAAAUUGCUCGUUUGACUGAGUUGUGUUCUCACCCAAGAGUAGGUUUCGAUUUUGGCUCUCAUUUCUUUGUUUUGCCAUAGUUUAAUUUUACUGCUUCAUUUCUCUUUUAUCCCUUACUUCUGUUUUGUAUUUUAAUUUUCUUAAACUAGAUUUAUAUGCUAACAAUUUCCCCUCCAAUUAAUAAUUGUUAGCAUAUAAAUCUAGUAGUAAACAUGUAAUUUCUCCAUUUGCAUUUUACAUUUCGAGGAUCUUUUUCAGUUAUUGUUCUUGGUAAAUUUUGAUUCCAACAAAAAUAGUUCUUGCUAUUUUGGUGUAGUUUUUUGGUUCUGGUUGUUCGGGUAAGGAUUCAAAUAGGGGAAUACUUUAGGAUAACACUAAAAAAGUUUAUGUCACAAAUAUAAACUCUAAGAAUCAAAAUAUUCAAACUAUUUUAUUAAAGAGGUAAAUAUACAUUUAUAACCAUAGGGUUAACUAAUAAUCCAAACCUUAGGGUUUAGAUUUGAGAUUGAAGUUAAAAAUU